CGCCGCGCUGCCCGGAUCGGGACAGCUGCCUGCACCUGCGCCCGCGCGGCUCUGCUGCCAAGUAUAAAUGGCAAGCAGGAGCUCGAUCACACAUCAGACGGGGGGAGAGAGAAUGGGAAGAAAGACCGCACCAGCCUCGGCCACAGAUCCACUGCCUAGCUGCAUCUGCAUCCCAUCUUCAGGUACACCACACUUUUGCUGAUCGCGUGUUUCGUUAGUGCUCUGCAAUCGAACCCAUUAGAAUUCAGGUACCGGAUUUCUGCUCCGUUCACUGAUGCUUCCUCCUUGUUUUCUCACCCGUGUCGUCCGGUCCGGUAGCUGCCUGCCUGCCUGCCUCCCGGUCUCUGCUUCUCGUGGUUCCCUGUUUCUCCCCUCAGCUGUGUACGCUACAGCCGUGGUCUCAACGCGAGUCAUGGCGCGCCUCUUGUUCCAUCUGAUCUUCUUCUUUCCCGAACAUCCAAGUAAUUUCUUCUUUCCCAAACAUCCAAGUAAUAUCUCCUCCGACAGUCAUCAAUAUGCUGUUCAUUUUGAUCAAGAUUCAAGAACAAGCUGCACUAUUCGACGAAAACAAGAUGCCCUUCCAUCCAAACUUUAGCGCCCACUCCAGAUUCUGUUAAUUUUCCACAGCUCCAACACACCAGCCUUUAUAUGUUUUUUUUUCUUUCAACUGAAACAGACCAACAUCUCUGUCUUAAACUAUUGGCAUAUGGAGACUGCCUGAAACUGACCCUUCUACUUGCCUUGUACCAUGUUGGUUCUCCUUACCUUUAUUUUCCCUUUCGCUUUCGCUUGUCGGCCAAUAACUCUGACCACAAAGAUUCAAAGAAAAACAUGUUGCAUCCUGAACCACACACCAGUCACUCUUUCUAUGGAUUUGAACACAGUUUUCUCCUAUUUCGAUGAACAGAUAAAAUCAUAGCGAGUUUCCUGUCGUAGUUGUUGAUGCUGUGGACGAUACAAUCAAUAUGGUAACCAUUGAAACAUAGUGUAAGGCCAAACAAACUACCUGAAACGCUUCGCAGGAUUCCCUUGAUCCUCCUUUUCAUGGAAGAGACAUGCAGCUAUGCUGCGUUUGCCCAAACAAAGAAGAAGGGGUAAAAAGGAAGCCUCGGUACCCUUGUAUCGAGCUGGUACAAUGCUCCUUUACUUGUCACUAUCGUUAACCACAUAUAUACACUGAAAUUGCCAAGGGUGGUAUUUAUAGGCCCUGCUGAUUGCUGAAUCUUAGCGACAGAGAGCAGAGAAAAGUAUGAGAGCGAAAGACAGCAGAGAAAGUAUGGGAGGCACCCACAUUGCAGGACUGGCCAGUGUGGUGAUCCUUUUGUGAAAAAGAGUGAGCAAAUCCCCUGCACGUAGACCUAACCUUUUUUAUGUUUGGACUGAUGAGGAUCAUACAAGUUUCGCGAGUGAUCAGGUCCAGGAGCAGGCCACAGAGGCCUCGUCGUCUGUCCAGAUGGAGAUCUUCUUCACCUGGUUCCCUUGGUUUCGGUAGUGCUCACCAGCUGUGCUCAUUUGUUAGUUAUUGAUCUCUUGCCAAGUUCUUGCUGGGUACAUCCCUCUUGCUGUCGUUGCCAUGUGUUGCUCAGCUCAAGUGGACUCGUCUCUCCUCCAGAUAAUGCUUGUUUUCUUGCAGGGUUGGCGCUGGGGGAGCCGAAUCAGCAGCAAGUGGAUGCAUCAGUCCUGAAAAUAGGGAUUUCCGGUUUUGACUGCUGAAGCUGACAAAACUGCUCUUUUUGGGGUGACUCUAGUCAUGCCUUUUGGCACAUGCAGGACAGCUGAACUGGAGACCUUUUAGUAUAAUAACGGAAAACAUUUCGGUCCUGCAGCACAUGCAACCCUUGUCGUACCAGUGGCUGACCUGGUUCAAUGGUACAGUGGCAACAGGGCCAGAUGAUUAUGGCCACUGGCCUCAUGAUCUCUAAUCAGUAAUCACACGUGCUGAGAUGGGCCGGAUGCACUCCAUUAUUGAUCCCUGGUGCAGAAGAAAACUCCGAUAUCCAUCCAGGUUCAAGAUGCUCGCACGUGUUUGUUAGCAGGCUAUGUGUUUGAGAUUUUGCUUCGGCUUUAGUUGCUUAGAACAUCUGCUAUUUUCUUAAAGUCUUGAUUUGCUUAUAUCUUUACCACACUUAUAAGCUAAGACUGUCACAAUGAAUGGUUAAGUGCAUGCCUUAUGCAAGGCCAGAAUAAAGAAUUCCAUAAUCUAAAAAUGUGCCUGAUCUCAGGUCAUGAAAAUCAGUAAUCAUGUACUGGUUCAGUAGCGAUCAUAUACAAUUCUGAUCUGAUUAUGUGAUCUAAAAGGGUGAUUAUCUGGUAGUAUAACCCAGUAAAGUACAACCAAUAUUUAGAACAAAGUGCCUUGGGACCCAACAAGCCAACAAGUGGAAGUGCUUUAGUGAGCAUACACGGCCACUGGCCACAUAAAAGCAACGGGGCCAACGGAUAGAGCCUUGAUGGUCGCAAGCAUGGCUUCUCCCCAGAUAAUGUUAGAUAUUCUCCAAGUGUUUUGAACUGACAUGAAUCUACCGCAGAGACGAUUAGAUGGAUGGAAGCAGGAGGGCUCACCGAGUCACCGGCGUGGUUCCCACCUGUUGCCAGUAGCCUAUAAAUUUGCCCUUUUCAGUCAUUAACCCCUGGCGACGAAAUGUCGAUGCACAACGGAAUACUACUUUCGUUAUCUUAUCUCGAUAUAACUUCAAGUGAGAGUUGUUUUACCUUACAGAACUUCAAGUGGGAGUAGCUUUUUCUUAUUAUGGCUCAUCUGAAACUAUACUGUAUGCUUAUGGCCUUAUGGUUAGGACAAUGCCAUGGUAAGGUGCGGUGUAGAAGCACUUUGCAAUAUUAUUUCUAGUGGUUCCUGUGAGACCUAUAGUUUCAAGUUCCAGCUGAAAAAACGUGACAAUACAGAGCCCUGUGGCAACUUGGUAAAUUCACAUAAAUCUGUGGUUGUGCCAGCCAGUGAUAAGAUGAUAUUUUCAACGUCUAGCUCCUACGCUAGCAACUUUAAGAGUUCCAUAACCAAACUGAUGGAAUGGUCUCUAUGGAUGCAUUCACCUCAGAAUCAAAUUGAUAUUUUAAGUGUGAACGGUAUCG
rnacentral:lncRNA from 1 species